CAGCCUUCUGCGUUGGAAGAUGCAGAUGCUGGGCUGGCAGCACAACUGUGCAAUCAGAGACAGGAUGAAGGAGCAGCUCCAUGAAUAGCUGGUGCUGGGGAGAGGGGGAGCUUAACUGCUUUGCUCAUGUAAUGUGUGUAGUACGUGGAGAAAUUGAAGAGUUCCUGAAAGCUACGAGGAGUGAUGGAGAGCCUCAUGAUCUCACCUCAGGUCUCACCAUCAGGCCUGGAGUCAGCACCUUCCUCUUGCAAAUUCCUCCCUUCCGUGCUUGUCUCAUGGUCCAGCUGUGGUGGCUUAUCUUAUAUGUGUUCAUUUGCAGGUGACAACUCCCUGAAUGACAGAGGACAUCUCAAGAAAGUCCCUUGUGCUUCAAAGCUCUCCAUGAGCCACCCUGAGGCACCCAGGCACAAGCAAUUCUGACAUGCACUGAACCAGAUACUUCUGUGUUGGUGAUGUUUUUGUUGAAAUGUCUGCCGGCUUCUCCCUUUCUCCCUUUGGUGAAGGAAUAGGAUCUGCUUGUUAGAAAUGCAUUGCUUGCAUUUUGAAAGAGGAAUCUGUACUGCUGAGGAUUUUCUUGGCAUGAGUGGAUAGUCUUUAUUCCUCAGCAGUGCUGCAGAUCUCUGUCUGCUUGGCCAGGACUCUUCCUUGUGAAACUUCUUUAUUUCUGCAAUCCUGAUGUUUCUUCUCCUGGUUGGGAAUGAAGAGUAUAAUCUGUCCACUCUUUGUCAGGGAUCAAGCAGCUGUGCCUGAGCUUUUGAAGUUGUUCAUAGUAUCUUAUAGUUUAUUUUCCAUUUACACAUACACAGCCUGAAGCACUGUCAGAGCACAGAACACAUGAGCAGGGGCCUUUCAAUCAGGAUAAUUAAAUCCCAGACAGCACCAAUGGGAGCAGCAGCCAAGGCUGUGGUGGAGCUCCCUGCUCUGUCCCUGCCUCAGUGACCACUGGCACUGGGGAAGAAAAACUGUGGUGGUCCAGCUGGGAAGGGCUGCCGGGAGCUGCUGCUCUGCAAAUUCAGGGGCGGAUGGAGAGAAAGGGAGGGCGGGCAAGGCAGUGUCAGGUACCUGCAGUGGGCGGGAGGCAAAUCCCUGCAACACAGCCCCGAGCUGCUGAGUGAUGCUCUCCCUCAAUGAUCCCUUCCCAGCGGGCCAGCUCCCAAAAAAGCCAGAUGCCUGAGCAAAGCACGAGUUUUUUCCACUGCCUUGGCCAUUCCUCUGCAGGCUCAUGAGACAACAACACUCCACCAUGUUGCACUAGCACAGGGUGACAAUCUCUGAACCAUGGCUUAGCAGACCCUAAUGCAGGGAAUCCAGCACAGAUUUUAAUGAAUAACAGGCUGCUCUGGUAGUUGAUGAAAGAAAACUUGUGUAUUGUGACAGCUCUACAGCAGGAGAAAAAAAAAAAUCCCAGGUCUUCUUGCAAAAGAACCUGUGGAUUCAGGAAAAUCAUGAAUAUAUGUAAAAGAAACGACAACUUUUUUUGGGUACUGGUCAGGAAUGGUUUUAAAGCCUGGGUUUUUUUCCCCCAUUCAUUGGAUGAGGAAUGGAUUUAGUUUUGUGCAACUCCAGUAAUCUCAGCUCUGGAAGUGGGACAGUUUUCCUGAAUUACUGAGAUGGAGUGAUAGGGGACUCAAGACAGGAGAUGUAGUAUCUCAGUUUUGUGGUCAGAUUGAGAACCACUGGUGUGUUUUAGCAUCUAAUUUUCUAGCAUUUCACUUACACAGACAAGUGUGUGAAUGCUCAUUAGUGGAUAGUGGAGAUGCUGUCUAAUUCUCAUGGAAGUUUUCAUCUAGGGCUGUCAAUUUGCUUUCCAGGGGAGCCUGUGUAAUUCCACUUGACAUACACUGAGGCACUGAGAGGAGCUACUUGCCCAAAACCAUCCAGCUCAGCCCAAACAGAACAGCCAGUGCUGCAUUUGCACAUUUUGUACCUAUUUUCCAGGACAUGGUGCCGCUGAAAUAAAUUUCAGGCAUGCCACAGAUGCAAGAUUGGUACGUUUGUGUCAAGAAGAAACAAUUUCUUCACUGUGUACACUGAAACAAUUCAAAGCAUUCCAAAGUCAGAUUGAGAAUAUGUAAGUGCAGAGCUAAUAAAUUUCUUUUUAUUUGA